rnacentral:rRNA from 1 species
GUGAAUCAUCGAGUCUUUGAACGCACAUUGCGCCCGCCAGUACUCUGGUGGGCAUGCCUGUUCGAGCGUCAUUUCAACCCUCAAGCCCCCGGGCUUGGUGUUGGGGAUCGGCACAAGGCGCUGGCACCUCCGGGAGUCGCGCCCGCAGUCCCCCAAAUUCAGUGGCGGUUCACGCCAUGUGUACCUCAGCGUAGUAGCAACACCUCGCUCCGGAACCCUCCUGUGAACCACGCCCGUAAAACCCCCGACUUUUUUUCUGGUUGACCUCGAAUCAGGUAGGACUACCCGCUGAACUUAAGCAUAUCAAUAAGCGGAGG